UUAAGCAUAACAAUAGGCGGAGGAAU
rnacentral:rRNA from 1 species